rnacentral:rRNA from 1 species
GACAGAGGAUGCAAGCGUUAUCCGGAAUGAUUGGGCGUAAAGCGUCUGUAGGUGGCUUUUCAAGUCCGCCGUCAAAUCCCAGGGCUCAACCCUGGACAGGCGGUGGAAACUACCAAGCUGGAGUACGGUAGGGGCAGAGGGAAUUUCCGGUGGAGCGGUGAAAUGCAUUGAGAUCGGGAGGAACACCAGAGGCGAAAGCGGCGAACUGGAACAGCACUGACACUCAACUACGAAAGCGUGGGGAGCAAACAGG